rnacentral:rRNA from 1 species
CCUGGCGGCUGUAGCGCGGUGGUCCCACCUGACCCCAUGCCGAACUCAGAAGUGAAACGCCGUAGCGCCGAUGAUAGUGUGGGGCCUCCCCAUGCGAGAGUAGGGAACUGCCAGGC